CAAGCAGAGGAUGCCCUCUGUGCUGCCUUCCCUCCAGGUUUUAUGUUUGAUCAAAACAAGGGGAUAGACAGAAGAGGGAGCGGAGAAAAAUAGAGGGAUCGCCAGUAAAGCCGCUGAAGGAGAUUUCUCGUAAAAUGGUAAAGAACUCAGAAACUACUACUGACUGAGCAAAGACGAUGAAGCCACGGAGUGACACAUGCUAUCAUGACAUAUGUAAAAAGCCUAACCAUACAACACAGUGUGUUUCUCUACAGACACGCUCCUGGUUUCUCUGACUCUCAUGCUGCAUUCCUCGUCAUCACAUUGUAGCUGAUUCAUUUGUGAGCGGAAUCAACCACAGGACCAGGUGCUGUUCCAACUCCAAGACGAGCAAGAAGCCCGAUUCCAAGCGACGGCCGCAAGCAACGACACCACUAGGCAGGAUUUGUUUGCACAAUAACAAAUUGGCAAACCUGCUGGGUCUGGAAGACGGUUCUGUCUGAUGCUGCACCUUAGCAGAGCCAGAGGAAGACAAACCCAAGGCUCAUGGAAGCCAGAACACGGGGCUGCACCGAAGUGAACCCACAGUUUUCUCCUCAUGGUUUGCCUUACAGAUGGAACCAACUCUCCAGGCAUUUGUGGCUGGAACUAGGUUGGCGUAGCAGGUGGGUGGUGGUGCUGAGCAGGGAUAAAUGGAGCAGAUUGCCAUCCAAAAGCCAACUUUGAAGUCUUUACUGCUCACUGUAACCUCUGACUAACUGCCGUAAGAAGGGUGUAAGAACACUCACUUCUUCUGGCAACUCUAAGAAUUCAGUAGGUCAAUUGCUCAAUAAAUGUUAGUCAGUAUGACUACACUUAAGAUUCCCUAACAAAAGCCUCCAUGCAUGAGUGUAAGCAUAGUCCUUAAAAUACGAACUGACAUGAACAGCCCCUAAUGUUACAUCCUUAGAUCAUGUCUUAUGUAUGUAGGUCAACCAGUAUGUGUUAAUGCUUUCUUCCUUAGAGAACCGAGCAGCGUCAACCUUGUUAUAACAACAGGAAUCUGUGAAUUAAUGCUCUUUCCACAGAUCCAAUGUUAUCCACGUGGCAUUGACUAAAACACAGCCACAUCUCAACAUACAUAGUCUUUUCCAAGUUCAUUCCAUCCUUUUAUUUAUUCAACCAAUAUUAACCAUAGACACAAAGGCGUCUCUCCUAAAAGGAUUUAGAGACAUGACUAUAGGAAAUUAACUGGAAUUAAAUGAGGGUGGGACCCUGAUUCAUUAAGACUGUAGGGUUAAUCUGUCUGUCUGUCUGUCUGUUCAUUUAUUUACUUUUUAUUGACUAUUUGGGAUUCUCACAUCACAUAUUUAAUCACACCUAUCUCCUAGUCCACCCAUGUCUGUCCUGCCUCUCCUGAGAUCUCCCUGCCAAUAAAAGAAGGAGGGGAUGGGAGUCCAUUUUGUGUUGUCUAUAUCCUCACUGAAGCAUUCCUAGUCUUAGGAGAAAGACUUAGGAAAAAGCCAUCAAUUGAGGAAAGGCUUGCAGCUGCUGGCAGUGGGUGGGGCCAGCUCUCUUGUGAGGGGUAAGCACAACUCUCCCACUCCCACUGACGUCACCAUGGUAGAAGCUCAGACCACGGACAUCUGUCUGGGCUUCAGUGGUAACACAGGC